GCGUUGCCCUGGAUUCUUCGGGGCCUCUAAUAGUAAUAUUGGAUGUAAAAAUUGGGUGAAUUCGGGGAAACCCCGACAUAAUGUCGGGACAAUUCCGAGCCAAGCCAAAAAGGGUAUAAGUUUUUUGGAAGGUGUAGAGACUAGUGAGUGAGUCCCAACAAUAAUCUCACAUUUAGCGCCCAACUCCGUACCCCCGAGAGAACGGAGAUGAUAUAGUCCAAUCCCUAAAGUAAUUUAGGA
rnacentral:ncRNA from 1 species